CCUACGGGAGACAGCAGUGAGGAAUAGUGGUUAAUGGACGCAAGUCUGAACCAGCCAUGCCGCGUGCAGGAAGACGGCUCUAUGAGUUGUAAACUGCUUUUGUACGAGGGUAAACUCAGAUACGCGUAUCUGUCUGAGAGUAUCGUACGAAUAAGGAUCGGCUAACCCCGUGACACCAGCAGCGGGAAUACGGAGGAUUCAAGCGUGAUCCGGUUUUAUUGGGUUUAAAGGGUGCGUAGGCGGUCGGAUAAGUUAGAGGUGAAAUCCCGAGGCUCAACGUCGGAAUGGCCUCUGAUACUGUUCGGCUAGAGAGUAGUUGCGGUAGGCGGAAUGUAUGGUGUAGCGGUGAAAUGCUUAGAGAUCGUACAGAACACCGAUUGCGAAGGCAGCUUACCAAGCUACUUCUGACGUUGAGGCACGAAGGCGUGGGGAGCAAACGGGAUUAGAUACCCCAGUAGUC
rnacentral:rRNA from 1 species